UUGUGGUUCCAGAGUCGGGGUUUUGGGGGCGAGAUGAGCUUAUGUUUUAUCCAACUGGCCCACAAAGUCCCGCUUUUGGUGGUCACU
ensembl:miRNA